rnacentral:tRNA from 1 species
GCCUGGGUGGUGGAAUAGGCAGACACAAGGGACUUAAAAUCCCUUGGGACCUUGUGCCCGUGCGGGUUCGAUCCCCGCCCCAGGCA